rnacentral:lncRNA from 1 species
AAACUAAAUCCUUUUCCUUAACUCACAGAACUCGACACCACCACAACAUCAUUUCCUACCACCCACACACUCGCCGAAAUCUUGCCGGAGAUGUGAAGCCGCCGCCAGAACACAUCGAGCAUUCACAUCUCAUGUUCGAUACUCAAGCCUUGUAAUCGUCACCGUCACUCAACCAUAAUCCUUCUCUGUUCGUCUACCCCGCCUCCUCGCAAACCCGCAACGGAUAUCACCUCGCAACACGCCGGAGAACGGAGAAGAUGACUGGAAACCCACGGCGUUCCUUUACGUGUUCAUGUGUUCUACAUCGGAGACCUCGCCAGAACCGGGUUCGCGUCGGGCUUAACUGUUGGCCACGUUUCACGUCUGUCUCUUUUCCACUCAAUAAACGCUACACCUAAAAGACAAAGCCGAGGCCGGAACUUGUAUCGUCGCCGGGGACUCACUCGUCUUGCGUUAGGUAUAAAUUUUCUUGUCCAUUUUGAUUUUCGUUUAGUCAUCAGUCGAUAUUUACUUCAUUCUAACUCUCUUAUAUUGUUUAAACAACAAAACAUGUGAGUUUCACAACUCACAGUUUACGUAUGUUUAUUUAUUUUUUUUUAUUUUUUUUUAUAAGGAAGAUGACAAAAUGUUAAUAAAAUCAAGAUCCUUGUUAUGAAAUUGUAAAGUUUACUACAACUGCCUUCAUUCCAUUGAAUUCAUUACUUAUUUGUUACUACUGUUGGGUUUUUAGCAAAAGCAAAGGAAAUAGUGGGAUGGGUUUUCUUUGAGUUGGGAAAGUGUUAUGGAAGAAGAUGGUGUUACUGUUACUGUGUAUACAUAUGAAAUUAAAAAAAAAACAUAAAAGUUUCCAAACUAUUAUACCUUUUUUCCUUUUUAUCUCUACUCAAAAAUCUUUUUCCUAAUAUUAUUUUCACAGAUGUGUUAUCCAACAAAAUAAUAUCCAAAACAAAUAUUAACAUUUUUUUUAUGAAAGGAGAAUUAUUCUACUUGAUUCAGUCAUUAAGCCAUUCAAAUGAAUAAAUAUCUAUUUACUUUUAUUAUUAAUGUUUUAAGUUUUGGUUUGAUCCAUGCGCCUCACGUGUCUGGCUAGAGUUUUCUUUUGUUUUUUUUACAUAUAUAUUCAUUAUUUUAUCACAACACUCUUUUAAUAAACAAUUAUUUUGUUAACACAAUUUAUUUACAAUUGACUAUCUAUCAAAAAUAACUUAAUAAAAGUAAAACAGUUUAUUUAAAACCAUAUUUUUAUAACUAAUUAAGCAAAGUUUAUUAAUCAAAUAAAUCAAUAAUUCAACUUUAUAACAUAAUUAGGCCCUUAUAAAUUAGAAAUUGUUAUUUAACUAGAUCGUUAUGUGGUAUUUCAAUAUCUAGGAUAAUCUCUUUGCUCGUUCUCUUGGAUUUUCUUAAAUCUUUACUCGUGCGAUAAUUCAAGGGAUUCUCAUACGCAAUCAAAGUGAGUAUACUCGAUCCCUUUUUGUUUUAAACACUUUUGGGAUGCAACAUGUAUUCUAUAUCAAAAACACUUGACACUUGACACUCGAAACUUAUUUGAAACAUACUCUAUCCAUUUAAACAUGAAACAUGAAACUUGUGAUACUUGAGACUUUUAUGCUAUGUGAACGUUUAAUCCCUGUGUGUAGUUCCGCCUUAACAAUGGUAGCGCUAUAGGGGUAAUGCACCUCCCCGUUAGUCUUUGGGGUAUUGUUAGGAUGAGACAUAUAACCUCCCGUUAAACUUUGGGAAAGGCACUUAACGCAUUGGAAACUUGGGCUAUCACUUGGACUGCGUUAGCUAGCAUGGUGAAACUUGUUAUAUGUUUGUGUGUUGGAUAUGAGUUUUUAAACUUUUAAACUAUUAUGUUAUAUAUUCAAACUUGUAUGCUCGCCAACAUUUUUUUGUUGACAUUAUUUUAAUACAUGUUGCAGGUUGAUAGACGCAGUGAUUAAGAAAACAAGCUAGGAUGAACCUAGAAACCCAUCUAGAAUAAGCAAUGUCUUGAAUUAUUUUUGAUAAAAUUUUGUUAUGUUUGAAUCUUUGUUAUGA